rnacentral:rRNA from 1 species
GAUGAACGCUGGCGGCGUGCCUAAUACAUGCAAGUAGAACGCUGAAGGAGGAGCUUGCUCUUCUGGAUGAGUUGCGAACGGGUGAGUAACGCGUAGGUAACCUGCCUGGUAGCGGGGGAUAACUAUUGGAAACGAUAGCUAAUACCGCAUGACAACAGUUAUUGCAUGAUAACUGCUUAAAAGGGGCAACUGCUCCACUACCAGAUGGACCUGCGUUGUAUUAGCUAGUUGGUGAGGUAACGGCUCACCAAGGCGACGAUACAUAGCCGACCUGAGAGGGUGAUCGGCCACACUGGGACUGAGACACGGCCCAGACUCCUACGGGAAGCAGCAGUAGGGAAUCUUCGGCAAUGGACGGAAGUCUGACCGAGCAACGCCGCGUGAGUGAAGAAGGUUUUCGGAUCGUAAAGCUCUGUUGUAAGAGAAGAACGAGUGUGAGAGUGGAAAGUUCACACUGUGACGGUAGCUUACCAGAAAGGGACGGCUAACUACGUG